GGGAGUGAAAAAGAACCUGAAACCGUGUACGUACAAGCAGUGGGAGCACCCUUCGGGGUGUGACUGCGUACCUUUUGUAUAAUGGGUCAGCGACUUAUAUUCUGUAGCAAGGUUAACCGAAUAGGGGAGCCGGAGGGAAACCGAGUCUUAAUUGGGCGUUAAGUUGCAGGGUAUAGACCCGAAACCCGGUGAUCUAGCCAUGGGCAGGUUGAAGGUUGGGUAACACUAACUGGAGGACCGAACCGACUAAUGUUGAAAAAUUAGCGGAUGACCUGUGGCUGGGGGUGAAAGGCCAAUCAAACCGGGAGAUAGCUGGUUCUCCCCGAAAGCUAUUUAGGUAGCGCCUCGUGAAUUCAUCUCCGGGGGUAGAGCACUGUUUCGGCUAGGGGGCCAUCCCGGCUUACCAACCCGAUGCAAACUGCGAAUACCGGAGAAUGUUAUCACGGGAGACACACGGCGGGUGCUAACGUCCGUCGUGAAGAGGGAAACAACCCAGACCGCCAGCUAAGGUCCCAAAGUCAUGGUUAAGUGGGAAACGAUGUGGGAAGGCCCAGACAGCCAGGAUGUUGGCUUAGAAGCAGCCAUCAUUUAAAGAAAGCGUAAUAGCUCACUGGUCGAGUCGGCCUGCGCGGAAGAUGUAACGGGGCUAAACCAUGCACCGAAGCUGCGGCAGCGAACGUAUCACCCAAGACAACUUUGCGGAGUUGACGAUUGACGGAGCGAAGCGACGUCAAAGCGUUCAUUAAAGUCGAGUUGGCUUAGGGAUACGUUCGUUGGGUAGGGGAGCGUUCUGUAAGCCUGUGAAGGUAUGCUGUGAGGC
rnacentral:rRNA from 1 species